rnacentral:misc_RNA from 1 species
UCCGAGUUGACCCCGGCGGUCUCCUGUGAGUCCCCAUCACCCCGAAGGGCAUGCUGGCAACACAGGACAAGGGUUGCGCUCGUUGCGGGACUUAACCCAACAUCUCACGACGCGAGCUGACGACAGCCAUGCAGCACCUGUGUCCAGGCCCCGUAAGGGGAGGAAUCCAUCUCUGGUAACCGCGAUGAGGAUGUCAAACGCUGGUAAGGUUCUGCGCGUUGCUUCGAAUUAAACCACAUGCUCCACCGCUUGUGCAGGCCCCCGUCAAUUUCUUUGAGUUUUAAUCUUGCGACCGUACUCCCCAGGCGGAUAACUUAAUGCGUUAGCUGCGCCACCAAAACCCUAAGGGCCCUGACAGCUAGUUAUCAUCGUUUACGGCGUGGACUAC